UUUGAGCGGCGUUGGGGAGCGACCCUCCCCUGCAGUGCUUUCCCGGAAGUCCGGCCAGAGUUACCUGAGUUGCGCUGAGCGCGCGUAUCCCUGGAAAUAGCGGAGGCGCGCGAACAGGUAGAACAGUCCGCACAGGGCUGCGGCUCCUGCGAGAGUCGAUGCAAGGCGACGCGGUGAGCACGAGCUCCCGCCAUCCGGGAUCACCCCCACCCCCGAAGUGUGCCCCCACGCUGCCCCGCACCUUCGUGGAAGAAGAUGCCGGCGACCCAGAGUGUGGCGAGGAACAGCGGAAAGUACUCGCUGCAGUUUACCCUGCGAGGGGUAGGCUGGGUGAGCGCGUGGUUCACCUUGGCUGACACCCGAACCCGCCCGGACCCGCCGCGCUCACUGGGCUCGGAAGACGCGCUCGAACUCGGGAGGGCCAGAGGACACGACACUGACAUUGAGUGCAAACAAGCUGAAAUGGUGCCUGUUACCUGCUCAGCCAGGAGGUGCUGCCUCUGCAGGAACUGCUGCUGCUGCAGCUGCUGCUGCUGCUGCUCCCUCUGCUUCUGCUGGUCCAGGAGCAGCUGGUGCUGCUUCAUCACAGCUGCCUGCUGCUGGCUGCUGAG
rnacentral:lncRNA from 1 species